UUUUUAAUCAAGAGAGUGACUAGAGUGGAUAUAUGGACAUCUGCUCAUUUAAUCAAAAGAAUUAUCCUGCAAAUAUCAGAGGCAUUAUGUUCUUCCACCACUGGAAACAAGUCUAUGAAACAAACCAUGAUUACCACCAAACUAAGCCAUGCACCUAUCAAGAAGUGAUAAAAUACACUGGCACAGUGGUAAGAAAAGUAGUGAAAUAAAAACAUAAGUAGAACCUCAGAGUUAUGAAUAUGAGAGUUACAAACUUACCAGUCAACCAUACACCUGAUUUGGAACUGGAGGUAUACAAUCAAGCAGCAAAGCAAAAGCAAAAGCAAAAGGAAAAGGAAAAGCAAAAGGAAAAAGCAAAUACUGUACAGUACAGUACUAUGUUAAAUGUAAACUACUAAAAAAACAAAGGGAAAGUUGAAAAAAAUAUUUGACAAGCAACUUCUUUACCAAACUCAAGAAGAGAUAAAAAUCCUCCCCACCAAGAUUAGAUUGGUAAGAAGAGACAACACAUUCUCUGAUGACAAGUUAAGUUCAAAGACGCUCUUUAAGAAUCACUUACGUUUAAACAGACCAUUUUAAGAGCUGAAAGAUCUUUUUAUAGGACAUAGGAGCAUUUGGGCUCACUUGAAUUUCAACUCAUAUUA